UCUAUUCUAUUGUCAGUAAGUUUAAUUUUAAGUAUCCUUACCUUAUUUUACAUCUCAAGCAACAUGUUUGAAUAAUACUUGAAGGUUUCAGAUUUCUUCAUUCGCGCUUCUCGAAUUCUCUUACCAAGAGGAACUGCAGUAAAGAGGAAAGCUUUAGCUUGGAAUUUUCUUCUUCUCUUUGUGGAGUUCGAUCUGAGCUAUGGCGGGAUUUUCUAGUAGAGGAGGUGGUUCAACAGCAGGCGGAAUUGAUCAGUGAUAG